GAGACAGCAGUCGCCACGGUAAUACGAAGGGGGCUAGCGUUGUUCGGAUUUACUGGGCGUAAAGCGCACGUAGGCGGACUUUUAAGUCAGGGGUGAAAUCCCGGGGCUCAACCCCGGAACUGCCUUUGAUACUGGAAGUCUUGAGUAUGGUAGAGGUGAGUGGAAUUCCGAGUGUAGAGGUGAAAUUCGUAGAUAUUCGGAGGAACACCAGUGGCGAAGGCGGCUCACUGGACCAUUACUGACGCUGAGGUGCGAAAGCGUGGGGAGCAAACAGGAUUAGAUACCCCAGUAGUCCCUGUCUCUUAUAC
rnacentral:rRNA from 1 species